rnacentral:rRNA from 1 species
AACGCUUGCUACAGGCUUAACACAUGCAAGUCGAGGGGCAGCAUGGUCUUAGCUUGCUAAGGCCGAUGGCGACCGGCGCACGGGUGAGUAACACGUAUCCAACCUGCCGUCUACUCUUGGACAGCCUUCUGAAAGGAAGAUUAAUACAAGAUGGCAUCAUGAGUCCGCAUGUUCACAUGAUUAAAGGUAUUCCGGUAGACGAUGGGGAUGCGUUCCAUUAGAUAGUAGGCGGGGUAACGGCCCACCUAGUCUUCGAUGGAUAGGGGUUCUGAGAGGAAGGUCCCCCACAUUGGAACUGAGACACGGUCCAAACUCCUACGGGAGGCAGCAGUGAGGAAUAUUGGUCAAUGGGCGAGAGCCUGAACCAGCCAAGUAGCGUGAAGGAUGACUGCCCUAUGGGUUGUAAACUUCUUUUAUAAAGGAAUAAAGUCGGGUAUGGAUACCCGUUUGCAUGUACUUUAUGAAUAAGGAUCGGCUAACUCCGUGCCAGCAGCCGCGGUAAUACGGAGGAUCCGAGCGUUAUCCGGAUUUAUUGGGUUUAAAGGGAGCGUAGAUGGAUGUUUAAGUCAGUUGUGAAAGUUUGCGGCUCAACCGUAAAAUUGCAGUUGAUACUGGAUAUCUUGAGUGCAGUUGAGGCAGGCGGAAUUCGUGGUGUAGCGGUGAAAUGCUUAGAUAUCACGAAGAACUCCGAUUGCGAAGGCAGCCUGCUAAGCUGCAACUGACAUUGAGGCUCGAAAGUGUGGGUAUCAAACAGGAUUAGAUACCCUGGUAGUCCACACGGUAAACGAUGAAUACUCGCUGUUUGCGAUAUACUGCAAGCGGCCAAGCGAAAGCGUUAAGUAUUCCACCUGGGGAGUACGCCGGCAACGGUGAAACUCAAAGGAAUUGACGGGGGCCCGCACAAGCGGAGGAACAUGUGGUUUAAUUCGAUGAUACGCGAGGAACCUUACCCGGGCUUAAAUUGCAGAUGAAUUACGGUGAAAGCCGUAAGCCGCAAGGCAUCUGUGAAGGUGCUGCAUGGUUGUCGUCAGCUCGUGCCGUGAGGUGUCGGCUUAAGUGCCAUAACGAGCGCAACCCUUGUUGUCAGUUACUAACAGGUCAUGCUGAGGACUCUGACAAGACUGCCAUCGUAAGAUGUGAGGAAGGUGGGGAUGACGUCAAAUCAGCACGGCCCUUACGUCCGGGGCUACACACGUGUUACAAUGGGGGGUACAGAGGGCCGCUACCACGCGAGUGGAUGCCAAUCCCAAAAACCUCUCUCAGUUCGGACUGGAGUCUGCAACCCGACUCCACGAAGCUGGAUUCGCUAGUAAUCGCGCAUCAGCCACGGCGCGGUGAAUACGUUCCCGGGCCUUGUACACACCGCCCGUCAAGCCAUGGGAGCCGGGGGUACCUGAAGUGCGUAACCGCGAGGAGCGCCCUAGGGUAAAACUGGUGACUGG